GAUGAACGCUGGCGGCGUGCCUAAUACAUGCAAGUCGAGCGAACGGACGAGAAGCUUGCUUCUCUGAUGUUAGCGGCGGACGGGUGAGUAACACGUGGAUAACCUACCUAUAAGACUGGGAUAACUUCGGGAAACCGGAGCUAAUACCGGAUAAUAUUUUGAACCGCAUGGUUCAAAAGUGAAAGACGGUCCUGCUGUCACUUAUAGAUGGAUCCGCGCUGCAUUAGCUAGUUGGUAAGGUAACGGCUUACCAAGGCAACGAUGCAUAGCCGACCUGAGAGGGUGAUCGGCCACACUGGAACUGAGACACGGUCCAGACUCCUACGGGAGGCAGCAGUAGGGAAUCUUCCGCAAUGGGCGAAAGCCUGACGGAGCAACGCCGCGUGAGUGAUGAAGGUCUUCGGAUCGUAAAACUCUGUUAUUCGGGAAGAACAUAUGUGUAAGUAACUGUGCACAUCUUGACGGUACCUAAUCAGAAAGCCACGGCUAACUACGUG
rnacentral:rRNA from 1 species